rnacentral:rRNA from 1 species
AGUCUCAGUUCAGAUUGUAGGCUGAAACUCGCCUAUAUGAAGUCGGAAUUGCUAGUAAUCGCGGAUCAGCAUGCCGCGGUGAAUACGUUCCCGGGCCUUGUACACACCGCCCGUCACACCAUGAGAGUCGAUAACACCGAAGCCUGUAGUCUAACAGCAAUGAGGACGCAGUCGAAGGUGGGAUUGAUAAUUAGGGUGAAGUCGUAACAAGGUACC